GUGCUCACUUCAGCAGCACAUGUGCUAAAAUUGGAACGAUACAGAGAUGAUUAGCAUGGCCCCUGCACAAGGAUGACAUGCAAAUUCAUGAAGUGUUCCAUAUUUUU
ensembl:snRNA U6 U6 spliceosomal RNA